ensembl:snRNA U6 U6 spliceosomal RNA
GUGCUUCAACAGCACAUAUACUAAAAUUGGAAUGAUACAGAGAAGAUUAGCAUGGCCCUGCCCAA